UACGUAGGGUGCAAGCGUUUGUCCGGAAUUAUUGGGCGUAAAGAGCUCGUAGGCGGUUUGUCGCGUCGGCUGUGAAAACUCAGGGCUCAACCCUGAGUCUGCAGUCGAUACGGGCAGACUAGAGUAUGGCAGGGGAGACUGGAAUUCCUGGUGUAGCGGUGAAAUGCGCAGAUAUCAGGAGGAACACCGGUGGCGAAGGCGGGUCUCUGGGCCAUAACUGACGCUGAGGAGCGAAAGCGUGGGGAGCGAACAGG
rnacentral:rRNA from 1 species